UACGAAGGGGGCUAGCGUUGCUCGGAAUCACUGGGCGUAAAGCGCACGUAGGCGGGUCGUUAAGUCAGGGGUGAAAUCCUGGAGCUCAACUCCAGAACUGCCCUUGAUACUGGCGACUUGUCAGUCGGGAGAGGUGAGUGGAACUGCGAGUGUAGAGGUGAAAUUCGUAGAUAUUCGCAAGAACACCAGUGGCGAAGGCGGCUCACUGGCCCGGUAUGACGCUGAGGUGCGAAAGCGUGGGGAGCAAACAGG
rnacentral:rRNA from 1 species